rnacentral:rRNA from 1 species
CCCUUAGAUGUCCUGGGCCGCACGCGCGUUACACUGAUGCAUUCAACGAGCUUAUAACCUUGGCCGAGAGGCCUGGGCAAUCUUGUUAACGUGCAUCGUGAUAGGGAUAGAUUAUUGAAAUUAUUAAUCUUGAACGAGGAAUGCCUAGUAAACGCAAGUCAUCAGCUUGCAUUGAUUACGUCCCUGCCCUUUGUACACACCGCCCGUCGCUCCUACCGAUUGAAUGAUCCGAUGAAUACCAUGGAUUGAGAGUACGAAUGGGUUCGCUCAUUUCUGCUGCUCGAGAAGUGGAGUAAAUCUUAUCAUUUAGAGGAAGGAGAAGUCGUAACA